ACGAACGCUGGCGGCGUGGAUAAGACAUGCAAGUCGAACGAGAGAAUUGCUAGCUUGCUAAUAAUUCUCUAGUGGCGCACGGGUGAGUAACACGUGAGUAACCUGCCCCCGAGAGCGGGAUAGCCCUGGGAAACUGGGAUUAAUACCGCAUAGUAUCGAAAGAUUAAAGCAGCAAUGCGCUUGGGGAUGGGCUCGCGGCCUAUUAGUUAGUUGGUGAGGUAACGGCUCACCAAGGCGAUGACGGGUAGCCGGUCUGAGAGGAUGUCCGGCCACACUGGAACUGAGACACGGUCCAGACACCUACGGGUGGCAGCAGUCGAGAAUCAUUCACAAUGGGGGAAACCCUGAUGGUGCGACGCCGCGUGGGGGAAUGAAGGUCUUCGGAUUGUAAACCCCUGUCAUGUGGGAGCAAAUUAAAAAGAUAGUACCACAAGAGGAAGAGACGGCUAACUCUGUGCCAGCAGCCGCGGUAAUACAGAGGUCUCAAGCGUUGUUCGGAAUCACUGGGCGUAAAGCGUGCGUAGGCUGUUUCGUAAGUCGUGUGUGAAAGGCGCGGGCUCAACCCGCGGACGGCACAUGAUACUGCGAGACUAGAGUAAUGGAGGGGGAACCGGAAUUCUCGGUGUAGCAGUGAAAUGCGUAGAUAUCGAGAGGAACACUCGUGGCGAAGGCGGGUUCCUGGACAUUAACUGACGCUGAGGCACGAAGGCCAGGGGAGCGAAAGGGAUUAGAUACCCCUGUAGUCCUGGCAGUAAACGGUGCACGCUUGGUGUGCGGGGAAUCGACCCCCUGCGUGCCGGAGCUAACGCGUUAAGCGUGCCGCCUGGGGAGUACGGUCGCAAGAUUAAAACUCAAGGAAAUUGACGGGGACCCGCACAAGCGGUGGAGUAUGUGGCUUAAUUCGAUGCAACGCGAAGAACCUUACCUGGGCUUGACAUGUAAUGAACAACAUGUGAAAGCAUGCGACUCUUCGGAGGCGUUACACAGGUGCUGCAUGGCCGUCGUCAGCUCGUGUCGUGAGAUGUUUGGUUAAGUCCAGCAACGAGCGCAACCCCUGUUGCCAGUUACCAGCACGUGAAGGUGGGGACUCUGGCGAGACUGCCCAGAUCAACUGGGAGGAAGGUGGGGACGACGUCAGGUCAGUAUGGCCCUUAUGCCCAGGGCUGCACACGUACUACAAUGCCCAGUACAGAGGGGGCCGAAGCCGCGAGGCGGAGGAAAUCCUAAAAACUGGGCCCAGUUCGGACUGUAGGCUGCAACCCGCCUACACGAAGCCGGAAUCGCUAGUAAUGGCGCAUCAGCUACGGCGCCGUGAAUACGUUCCCGGGUCUUGUACACACCGCCCGUCACAUCAUGGAAGCCGGUCGCACCCGAAGUAUCUGAAGCCAACCGCAAGGAGGCAGGGUCCUAAGGUGAGACUGGUAACUGGGAUG
rnacentral:rRNA from 1 species